GCAGCCGCCGCGGGAAUACGAAGGGUGCAAGCGUUAAUCGGAAUUACUGGGCGUAAAGCGUGCGUAGGCGGUUUGUUAAGUCUGUUGUGAAAUCCCCGGGCUCAACCUGGGAAUGGCAGUGGAUACUGGCUCGCUAGAGUGUGUCAGAGGAUGGUGGAAUUCCCGGUGUAGCGGUGAAAUGCGUAGAGAUCGGGAGGAACAUCAGUGGCGAAGGCGGCCAUCUGGGACAACACUGACGCUGAGGCACGAAAGCGUGGGGAGCAAACAGGAUUAGAUACCCCCGUAGUCCCUGUCUCUUAUAC
rnacentral:rRNA from 1 species